UGAGGAAUAUUGGGCAAUGCCCGCAAGGGUGACCCAGCAACGCCGCGUGGAGGAUGAAUGUCGUAAGAUUGUAAACUCCUGUUAGAGGGGAAGAAUAGUACCGGUUGGACCGGUAUAUGACUGUACCCUCAGAGAAAGCCCCGGCUAACUACGUGCCAGCAGCCGCGGUAAUACGUAGGGGGCAAGCGUUGCCCGGAUUUACUGGGUGUAAAGGGCGCGCAGGCGGGAUAAAAAGUCAGUGGUGAAAUCCUACAGCUUAACUGUAGAACUGCCUUUGAUACUUUUAUUCUUGAGUUCGGGAGAGAGAGACGGAAUUCCAGGUGUAGUGGUGAAAUACGUAGAUAUCUGGAAGAACACCAGUUGCGAAGGCGGUCUCUUGGUCCGACACUGACGCUGAGGCGCGAAAGCGUGGGGAGCAAGCA
rnacentral:rRNA from 1 species